CUCCGCCCCGCCAGCCGUGAGCCUCCACCCCACGCCGCAUAUCUCGCGGGCAGCGGGCUCACCGGCCACCGCCUUCGAAUCUGGGAAAACCAUCCUAGCAAGCGGAAGCAGGCUGUGCUCAUCCUUUUCUACGCUAUAUUAGCGUUCAGUACAGCUUCAUUGUUCUCGCUUUGGUCGGGAUCAAGACAUCCAAGUCAUUGGAUGUUGUUCCUUGAUGGGCUCUUGUUCACGGCGACCCUGGUCGUUACCGCUAUGAUUCAGUUUAUCAUCCCUACUGAGCGGUGCCUCAGACUUGCCACUGCAGCCCUCGGCAUCGGCAUGCUGAUGAUGGGCUAUGCCUUCAUGGCGAGUCUUUACCAGGCACCGGCACCCACUCCGCCCCCAGCCCCGGCUGUCCUCCAUGGCUAGCUGUUGAUUUGUUUUUCUCAUUUUCAGUAUUACUACUAUCAGACUCCGUGCAGGUUUAAUGUCUGUUUUCUGUUAUUGUGGUUGUUGACGCGCUACGUACUUUGUUUGGUUGGAAAUCAUCAUUACUACAUUCCCAAGUUUUAUGUUUGUUUUAUAUAUGUUGGCGUGCACGGUUAAUUGGCUA